GACGAACGCUGGCGGCAUGCCUAACACAUGCAAGUCGAACGAGACCUCCGGGUCUUGUGGCGCACGGCUGCGUAACGCGUGGGAACCUGCCCUUGGGUUCGGUAUACCUCCCCGAAAGGGGUCCUCAUACCGGAUAAUGUCUUCGGACCAAAGAUUUCUCGCCUUUGGCUGGGCGCGCGUUGGAUUCGCUAGUUGGUAGGGUAAAAGCCUACCAAGGCCAGGUUCCAUAGCUGGUCUGGGAGCAUGCUUAGCCACACUGGGACUGAGACACGGCCCAGACUCCUACGGGAGGCAGGAGUGGGUAAUAUUGGACAAGGGGCGAAAGCCUGACCCAGCAAGGCCGGGUGAGAGAUCAAGGCCGUAGGGUUGUAAAGCUCUUUUACACGGGAUGAUAAUGACGGUACCGGGAGAAUAAGCACCGGCUAACUCCGUG
rnacentral:rRNA from 1 species